AUUGAACGCUGGCGGCAUGCCUUACACAUGCAAGUCGAACGGCAGCACGGACUUCGGUCUGGUGGCGAGUGGCGAACGGGUGAGUAAUAUAUCGGAACAUACCUUGUAGUGGGGGAUAACUAUCCGAAAGGAUAGCUAAUACCGCAUACGAUCUAAGGAUGAAAGCGGGGGAUCUUCGGACCUCGUGCUAUAAGAGUGGCCGAUAUCUGAUUAGCUAGUUGGUGAGGUAAAGGCUCACCAAGGCGACGAUCAGUAGCUGGUCUGAGAGGACGACCAGCCACACUGGAACCGAGACACGGUCCAGACUCCUACGGGAGGCAGCAGUGGGGAAUUUUGGACAAUGGGCGCAAGCCUGAUCCAGCAAUGCCGCGUGCAGGAUGAAGGCCUUCGGGUUGUAAACUGCUUUUGUACGGAACGAAAAGCCCUGGGUUAAUACCCUGGGGUCAUGACGGUACCGUAAGAAUAAGCACCGGCUAACUACGUGCCAGCCGCCGCAGUAACAC
rnacentral:rRNA from 1 species